rnacentral:rRNA from 1 species
UACUCCUACGGGAGGCAGCAGUGAGGAAUAUUGGUCAAUGGGCGCAAGCCUGRACCAGCCAAGUAGCGUGAAGGAUGAAGGUUCUAUGGAUUGUAAACUUCUUUUAUAAGGGAAUAAACCCACCUACGUGUAGGUGUCUGUAUGUACCUUAUGAAUAAGGACCGGCUAACUCCGUGCCAGCGAGCCGCGGUAAU